rnacentral:rRNA from 1 species
CAAUAAGUUACAAAGGGCUUAAGGUGGAUGCCUUGGGACUAGAUGGCGAUGAAGGACGUGCAAAUCUGCGAUAAGUUAUGGGUAGGUGAUAAGAACCGAUGAUCCAUAAAUCUCCGAAUGGGGCAACCCACUUAGUAGAAGUACUAAGUAUCAUUAACUGAAUACAUAGGUUAAUGAAGAUAUACCCACUGAAGUGAAUCAUCUCAGUAAGUGGAGGAAAAGAAAUCAACGAGAUUCCCUAAGUAGUGCGAGCGAAAGGGGAGAAGGGCACAAGAUUCGAUCUUGUAUAAUAUUUUAUAAAUAUAGCAGAAACUAUUGGGAAGUAGUGCAAUAUAGUGUGAUAGCCACGUAUGCGAAAUGUUUAUAAUCUGAAGCGAGUAAGACGGGACACGUGAAAUCCUGUUUGAAGACGGGGCGACCAUGCUCCAACCCUAAAUACAAACUAGUCACCGAUAGCGAAUAGUACAGUGAUGGAACGGUGAAAAGAACCCAGAGAUGGGAGUGAAAUAGAAACUGAAACCAUAAGCCUACAACGAGUUAAAGCACAUUAAUGUGUGAUAGCGUGCGUUUUGAAGUAUGAGUCGGAGAGUUGUGUGGUGCAUGCAAGCUUAAGUCGUAGAGAUGGAGGCGUAGGGAAACCGAAUGUUAAUAGCGUGUUAAGUAUGUAUCAACAGACCCGAAACGGGGUGAUCUAGUCAUGGGCAGGUUGAAAGCUGAGUAAAAUCAGCUGGAGGACCGAACCCACUUUCGUUGAAAUGCCAGGGGAUGACCUGUGACUAGGGGAGAAAUUCCAAUCGAACUCCGUGAUGGCCGGUUCUCAUCGAUAUAGCUUUAAGGCUAGCGUCUUGUGUUUAUAUAUGAGGGUAGAGCUCUGAUUGACUGAUGGCGCCACCUCGGCGUACUGAAUUCUAUUAAACUACGAAUACCAUAUAACAUAGCAAGGCAGUCAGACAGUGGGGGAUAAGCUCCAUUGUCGUGAGGAAAAGAGUCCAGAUCAUUAACUAAGGUCCCUAAUUUAUGCUAAGUGGAAAAGGAAGUUAGAUUUCUUAAACACCAAGGAUGUUGGCUUAGAAGCAGCCAUCGUUUAAAGAGUGCGUAACAGCUCACUUGUCGAGAAAUUUUGCGCCGAAAAUUCAACGGGGCUCAAGCAUAAAACCGAAGUUAUGGGUUCAGUAAUAUUACGAUAUUAUUGAGCGGUAGAUGAGCGUUGUAUACUGGGAUGAAGGCAGAGUGUGAACACUGCUGGACUGUAUACAAGUGAGAAUUCCGAUGUGAGUAACGAUUGAAUGUGAGAAUCAUUUAAGCCUAUUGAGUAAGGUUUCCAGGACUAGGGUCGUCCUUCCUGGGUUAGUCAGAA